AUUGAACGCUGGCGGCAUGCCUAACACAUGCAAGUCGAACGAGUGGCGGACGGGUGAGUAAUGUCUGGGAAACUGCCUGAUGGAGGGGGAUAACUACUGGAAACGGUAGCUAAUACCGCAUACCAUCGGAUGUGCCCAGAUGGGAUUAGCUAGUAGGGGGGGUAAAGGCUCACCUAGGCGACGAUCCCUAGCUGGUCUGAGCGGAUGACCAGCCACACUGGAACUGAGACACGGUCCAGACGCCUACGGGAGGCAGCAGUGGGGAAUAUUGCACAAUGGGCGCAAGCCUGAUGCAGCCAUGCCGCGUGUGUGAAGAAGGCCUUCGGGUUGUAAAGCACUUUCAGCGGGGAGGCGUUACCCGCAGAAGAAGCACCGGCUAACUCCGUGCCAGCCGCCGCGGUAAUUC
rnacentral:rRNA from 1 species